GUCCUGCUCUCAGUGGUCCUUCUGGCUCUGAGCUCAGCUCAGAGCACAGAUAAUGAAAGACCUGGCUGUGCUGUGAAGGAUGCAGUGGAGAAUGCAAGACUGAUCCAGGGAAGUCCAGCUAUGAAGAUGCUACAAUGUGAACUAUGAAGACUUUACUUUCACCAUACCAGCCUGCAGGAAGCAUCAUCAUUCUUCCAGAGGGACAGACCAGCAAGACAUCCCCAGGAGCAACCACUCUGGUAAUCUAGAAUUCAGUGGCAGAAAAUAAAUAAGAAGAUAACUUCCUUCAGAAAGCCAUGACAUUGAAAUAAUGUGGUCAUAACUCUUUCUUCAGUAUACCAAUAAAAUAUUAAUAGCAUGC
rnacentral:lncRNA from 10 species